rnacentral:rRNA from 1 species
CAGCCGCCACGGUAAUACGUAGGUGGCAAGCGUUGUCCGGAAUUAUUGGGCGUAAAGGGCUCGCAGGCGGUUUCUUAAGUCUGAUGUGAAGGCCCCCGGCUCAACCGGGGAGGGUCAUUGGAAACUGGGAAACUUGAGUGCAGAAGAGGAGAGUGGAAUUCCACGUGUAGCGGUGAAAUGCGUAGAGAUGUGGAGGAACACCAGUGGCGAAGGCGACUCUCUGGUCUGUAACUGACGCUGAGGAGCGAAAGCGUGGGGAGCGAACAGGAUUAGAUACCCGCGUAGUCCCUGUCUCUUAUAC